rnacentral:misc_RNA from 1 species
AAGGAGUCUAACAUAUCUGCGAGUAUUUGGGUGUCAAACCCGAGUGCGCAAUGAAAGUGAACGUAGGAGCCACGCGCAAGCUGCAGCUUCGACCGAUCUGGAUCUUUAGUGAUGGAUUUGAGUAAGAGCAUAUAUGUUGGGACCCGAAAGAUGGUGAACUAUGCCUGAAUAGGGCGAAGCCAGAGGAAACUCUGGUGGAGGCUCGUAGCGAUUCUGACGUGCAAAUCGAUCGUCGGAGCUGGGUAUAGGGGCGAAAGACUAAUCGAACCAUCUAGUAGCUGGUUCCUGU